UGGGGAAUUUUGGACAAUGGGGGCAACCCUGAUCCAGCAAUGCCGCGUGUGUGAAGAAGGCCUUCGGGUUGUAAAGCACUUUUGUCCGGAAAGAAAUCGCCCUGGCUAAUAUCCGGGGUGGAUGACGGUACUGGAAGAAUAAGCACCGGCUAACUACGUGCCAGCAGCCGCGGUAAUACGUAGGGUGCAAGCGUUAAUCGGAAUUACUGGGCGUAAAGCGUGCGCAGGCGGUUGUGCAAGACAGAUGUGAAAUCCCCGGGCUUAACCUGGGAAUGGCAUUUGUGACUGCACGGCUAGAGUGUGUCAGAGGGGGGUUAGAAUUCCACGUGUAGCAGUGAAAUGCGUAGAUAUGUGGAGGAACACCGAUGGCGAAGGCAGCCCCCUGGGAUAACACUGACGCUCAUGCACGAAAGCGUGGGGGAGCAAACAGGAUUAGAUACCCUGGUAGUCCACGCCCUAAACGAUGUCAACUAGUUGUCGGGUCUUAAUUGACUUGGU
rnacentral:rRNA from 1 species